CCUCGGGAGGCAGCAGUGGAGGAAUAUUGGGCAAUGGGAGGCAACUCUGACCCAGCCAUGCCGCGUGCAGGAAGACGGCCCUAUGGGUUGUAAACUGCUUUUAUACAGGAAGAACACCACCCACGUGUGGGUGACUGACGGUACUGUAAGAAUAAGGACCGGCUAACUCCGUGCCAGCAGCCGCGGUAAUACGGAGGGUCCAAGCGUUAUCCGGAAUCAUUGGGUUUAAAGGGUCCGUAGGCGGGCUAAUAAGUCAGAGGUGAAAGUUUGCAGCUCAACUGUAAAAUUGCCUUUGAUACUGUUAGUCCUGAGUUAUAGUGAAGUGGUUAGAAUAAGUGGUGUAGCGGUGAAAUGCAUAGAUAUCACUUAGAAUACCGAUUGCGAAGGCAGAUCACUAACUGUAUACUGACGCUGAGGGACGAAAGCAUGGGUAGCGAACGGGAUUAGAUACCCCGGUAGUCCAUGCUGUAAACGAUGGAUACUAGCUGUUGGCUUCGGUCAGUGGCUAAGCGAAAGUGAUAAGUAUCCCACCUGGGGAGUACGUUCGCAAGAAUGAAACUCAAAUGAAUUGACGG
rnacentral:rRNA from 1 species